rnacentral:rRNA from 1 species
CAGCAGCCACGGUAAUCCGGAGGGGGCUAGCGUUGUUCGGAAUUACUGGGCGUAAAGCGCACGUAGGCGGCUUGGUAAGUUAGAGGUGAAAGCCUGGAGCUCAACUCCAGAAUUGCCUUUAAGACUGCCGAGCUAGCAGGUGAGAGAGGUAAGUGGAAUUCCGAGUGUAGAGGUGAAAUUCGUAGAUAUUCGGAAGAACACCAGUGGCGAAGGCGGCUUACUGGCUCAUACUGGACGCUGAGGUGCGAAAGCGUGGGGAGCAAACAGGAUUAGAUACCCGUGUAGUCCCUGUCUCUUAUAC